AGGGUAGACCUCCCACCCUUGUGUAUUAUUACUUUGUUGCUUUGGCGAGCUGCCUUCGGGCCUUGUAUGCUCGCCAGAGACCAAAACUCUUUUUAUUAAUGUCGUCUGAGUACUAUAUAAUAGUUAAAACUUUCAACAACGGAUCUCUUGGUUCUGGCAUCGAUGAAGAACGCAGCGAAAUGCGAUAAGUAAUGUGAAUUGCAGAAUUCAGUGAAUCAUCGAAUCUUUGAACGCACAUUGCGCCCCUUGGUAUUCCGGGGGGCAUGCCUGUUCGAGCGUCAUUUCAACCCUCAAGCUUAGCUUGGUAUUGAGUCUAUGUCAGUAAUGGCAGGCUCUAAAAUCAGUGGCGGCGCCGCUGGGUCCUGAACGUAGUAAUAUCUCUCGUUACAGGUUCUCGGUGUGCUUCUGCCAAAACCCAAAUUUUUCUAUGGUUGACCUCGGAUCAGGUAGGGAUACCCGCUGAACUUAA
rnacentral:rRNA from 1 species